rnacentral:rRNA from 1 species
CGGUACGUACUGGCAUUGUUGGUUUCUCCCUUCUGACGAACCAUGAUGUCAUUUAUUUGGUGUUGUGGGGAAUCAGGACUGUUACUUUGAAAAAAUUAGAGUGUUUAAAGCAGGCUCACGCUUGAAUACAUUAGCAUGGAAUAAUGAAAUAGGACGUUUGAUUCUAUUUUGUUGGUUUCUAGGAUCGACGUAAUGAUUAAUAGGGAUAGUUGGGGGCAUUAGUAUUCAAUUGUCAGAGGUGAAAUUCUUGGAUUUAUUGAAGACUAACUACUGCGAAAGCAUUUGCCAAGGAUGUUUUCAUUAAUCAAGAACGAAAGUUAGGGGAUCGAAGACGAUCAGAUACCGUCGUAGUCUUAACCAUAAACUAUGCCGACUAGGGAUCGGAUGAUGUUAAUUUUUUAAUGACUCAUUCGGCGCCUUACG